CCUACGGGAGGCUGCAGUGAGGAAUAUUGGUCAAUGGACGCAAGUCUGAACCAGCCAAGUAGCGUGCAGGAUGACGGCCCUCCGGGUUGUAAACUGCUUUUAGUUGGGAAUAAAAGGGGGCUCGUGAGCCCCGUCUUGUAUGUACCAUCAGAAAAAGGACCGGCUAAUUCCGUGCCAGCAGCCGCGGUAAUACGGAAGGUCCGGGCGUUAUCCGGAUUUAUUGGGUUUAAAGGGUGCGCAGGCGGAAGAUCAAGUCAGCGGUAAAAUUGAGAGGCUCAACCUCUUCGAGCCGUUGAAACUGGUGUUCUUGAGUGAGUGAGAAGUAUGCGGAAUGCGUGGUGUAGCGGUGAAAUGCAUAGAUAUCACGCAGAACUCCGAUUGCGAAGGCAGCAUACCGGAGCGCAACUGAUGCUCAUGCACGAAAGUGUGGGUAUCGAACAGGAUUAGAUACCCCGGUAGUC
rnacentral:rRNA from 1 species